AUUGAACGCUGGCGGCAGGCCUAACACAUGCAAGUCGAGCGGAUGCAGGGAGCUUGCUCCUUGAUUCAGCGGCGGACGGGUGAGUAAUGCCUAGGAAUCUGCCUGGUUGUGGGGGAUAACGUCCGGAAACGGGCGCUAAUACCGCAUACGUCCUGAGGGAGAAAGUGGGGGAUCUUCGGACCUUACGCUAUCAGAUGAGCCUAGGUCGGAUUAGCUAGUUGGUGGGGUAAAGGCCUACCAAGGCGACGAUCCGUAACUGGUCUGAGAGGAUGAUCAGUCACACUGGAACUGAGACACGGUCCAGACUCCUACGGGAGGCAGCAGUGGGGAAUAUUGGACAAUGGGCGAAAGCCUGAUCCAGCCAUGCCGCGUGUGUGAAGAAGGUCUUCGGAUUGUAAAGCACUUUAAGUUGGGAGGAAGAGCAGUAAGUUAAUACCUUGCUGUUUUGACGUUACCAACAGAAUAAGCACCGGCUAACUUCGUG
rnacentral:rRNA from 1 species